CCUACGGGUGGCUGCAGUGGGGAAUAUUUGGCAAUGGGCGCAAGCCUGACCCAGCAACGCCGCGUGAAGGAAGAAGGCUUUCGGGUUGUAAACUUCUUUUAUCAGGGACGAAGCAAGUGACGGUACCUGAUGACUAAGCCACGGCUAACUACGUGCCAGCAGCCGCGGUAAUACGUAGGUGGUAAGCGUUAUCCGGAUUUAAGGGGUGUCAAGGGCGUGUAGGCGGGAAAGCAAGUCAGAUGUGAAAACCAUGGGCUUAACCUGUGGCAUGCAUGUGAACCUGUUUUUCUUGAGUACUGGAGAGGCAGACGGAAUUCGUAGUGUAGCGGUGAAAUGCGUAGAUAGUAGGAAGAACACCAGUGGCGAAGGCGGCUUUCUGGACUGAAACUGACGCUGAGGCACGAAAGCGUGGGGAGCGAACAGGAUUAGAUACCCCUGUAGUC
rnacentral:rRNA from 1 species